UUUUAUGAGAGUUUGAUCCUGGCUCAGGACGAACGCUGGCGGCGUGCCUAAUACAUGCAAGUCGAACGCUUCUUUUUCCACCGGAGCUUGCUCCACCGGAAAAAGAGGAGUGGCGAACGGGUGAGUAACACGUGGGUAACCUGCCCAUCAGAAGGGGAUAACACUUGGAAACAGGUGCUAAUACCGUAUAACAAUCGAAACCGCAUGGUUUCGAUUUGAAAGGCGCUUUCGGGUGUCGCUGAUGGAUGGACCCGCGGUGCAUUAGCUAGUUGGUGAGGUAACGGCUCACCAAGGCGACGAUGCAUAGCCGACCUGAGAGGGUGAUCGGCCACAUUGGGACUGAGACACGGCCCAAACUCCUACGGGAGGCAGCAGUAGGGAAUCUUCGGCAAUGGACGAAAGUCUGACCGAGCAACGCCGCGUGAGUGAAGAAGGUUUUCGGAUCGUAAAACUCUGUUGUUAGAGAAGAACAAGGAUGAGAGUAACUGUUCAUCCCUUGACGGUAUCUAACCAGAAAGCCACGGCUAACUACGUGCCAGCAGCCGCGGUAAUACGUAGGUGGCAAGCGUUGUCCGGAUUUAUUGGGCGUAAAGCGAGCGCAGGCGGUUUCUUAAGUCUGAUGUGAAAGCCCCCGGCUCAACCGGGGAGGGUCAUUGGAAACUGGGAGACUUGAGUGCAGAAGAGGAGAGUGGAAUUCCAUGUGUAGCGGUGAAAUGCGUAGAUAUAUGGAGGAACACCAGUGGCGAAGGCGGCUCUCUGGUCUGUAACUGACGCUGAGGCUCGAAAGCGUGGGGAGCAAACAGGAUUAGAUACCCUGGUAGUCCACGCCGUAAACGAUGAGUGCUAAGUGUUGGAGGGUUUCCGCCCUUCAGUGCUGCAGCUAACGCAUUAAGCACUCCGCCUGGGGAGUACGACCGCAAGGUUGAAACUCAAAGGAAUUGACGGGGGCCCGCACAAGCGGUGGAGCAUGUGGUUUAAUUCGAAGCAACGCGAAGAACCUUACCAGGUCUUGACAUCCUUUGACCACUCUAGAGAUAGAGCUUCCCCUUCGGGGGCAAAGUGACAGGUGGUGCAUGGUUGUCGUCAGCUCGUGUCGUGAGAUGUUGGGUUAAGUCCCGCAACGAGCGCAACCCUUAUUGUUAGUUGCCAUCAUUUAGUUGGGCACUCUAGCAAGACUGCCGGUGACAAACCGGAGGAAGGUGGGGAUGACGUCAAAUCAUCAUGCCCCUUAUGACCUGGGCUACACACGUGCUACAAUGGGAAGUACAACGAGUCGCAAAGUCGCGAGGCUAAGCUAAUCUCUUAAAGCUUCUCUCAGUUCGGAUUGUAGGCUGCAACUCGCCUACAUGAAGCCGGAAUCGCUAGUAAUCGCGGAUCAGCACGCCGCGGUGAAUACGUUCCCGGGCCUUGUACACACCGCCCGUCACACCACGAGAGUUUGUAACACCCGAAGUCGGUGAGGUAACCUUUUGGAGCCAGCCGCCUAAGGUGGGAUAGAUGAUUGGGGUGAAGUCGUAACAAGGUAGCCGUAUCGGAAGGUGCGGCUGGAUCACCUCCUUUCUAAGGAA
rnacentral:rRNA from 1 species